UUAAAGACGGCUUCGGCUGUCACUUUAGGAUGGACCCGCGGCGUAUUAGCUUGUUGGUAAGGUAACGGCCUACCAAGGCGAUGAUACGUAGCCGACCUGAGAGGGUAAUCGGCCACAUUGGGACUGAGACACGGCCCAAACUCCUACGGGAGGCAGCAGUAGGGAAUCUUCCCACAAUGGACA
rnacentral:rRNA from 1 species